rnacentral:rRNA from 1 species
AGGGUUUGAUUAUGGCUCAGAACGAACGCUGGCGGCGUGGAUAAGACAUGCAAGUCGAACGGAAAAUGAGCAUAGCUUGCUAAGCUCAUUUUUAGUGGCGGACGGGUUAGUAACACGUGAGAUACAUACCCUUUAGACAGGAAUAGCCCAUGGAAACGUGGAUUAAUGCCUGAUAGUCUCUACGGAGUAAAUGAUGCCUUCGGGUGUCGCUAAAGGAUUGGCCCGCGGCCUAUCAGUUUGUUGGUGAGGUAAAGGCUCACCAAGACUACGACGGGUAGCUGGUCUGAGAGGACGAUCAGCAACACUGGAACUGAGACACGGUCCAGACACCUACGGGUGGCAGCAGUCGAGAAUCAUUCACAAUGGAGGCAACUCUGAUGGUGCAACGCCGCGUGGAGGAUGACGGUCCUAGGAUUGUAAACUCCUGUCAUUGGGGAGUAAGACUUAGUAGUUAAUAGCUUCUAAGUUUGAUAGUACCCAAAGAGGAAGGGACGGCUAACUUCGUGCCAGCAGCCGCGGUAAUACGAAGGUCCCAAGCGUUGUUCGGAAUAACUGGGCGUAAAGCGUGUGUAGGCUGCGCGGAAAGUCAAAUGUGAAAGCCAGAGGCUCAACCUCUGAACUGCAUUCGAUACUCCCGUGCUAGAGUAAUGGAGAGGUAAGUGGAAUUCUCGGUGUAGCAGUGAAAUGCGUAGAUAUCGAGAGGAACAUCAAUGGCGAAGGCAACUUACUGGACAUUUACUGACGCUCAGACACGAAGGCUAGGGGAGCGAAAGGGAUUAGAUACCCCUGUAGUCCUAGCAGUAAACGGUGCUCGCUUGGUGUGGGAGGGUUCGACCCCUUCUGUGCCGGAGCUAACGCGUUAAGCGAGCCGCCUGGGAAGUACGAUCGCAAGACUAAAACUCAAAGAAAUUGACGGGGACCCGCACAAGCGGUGGAGUAUGUGGUUUAAUUCGAUGCUACACGAAGAACCUUACCAGGGUUUGAAAUCAUUUCAAAACUCCUUGAAAGAGGAGCCUCCUUCGGGAUGAAAUGACAGGUGGUGCAUGGCUGUCGUCAGCUCGUGUUGUGAAAUGUCGAGUUAAGUCUCGUAACGAGCGCAACCCAUGUCUCUUGUUGCUCACUGAGUGCUUAAGAGAGACUGCCGACCAACAUCGGAGGAAGGUGUGGAUGACGUCAAGUCAGCAUGCCCCUUACAUCCUGGGCUACACACGUACUACAAUGGUAAGGACAAUGAGCUGCGAUCCUGCGAAGGCUAGCCAAUCUCAAAAACCUUAUCUCAGUUCGGAUUGCACUCUGCAACUCGAGUGCAUGAAGGUGGAAUCGCUAGUAAUCGCUGGUCAGCUAUACAGCGGUGAAUGCGUUCCCGGGUCUUGUACACACCGCCCGUCACACCAUGGGAGUUGGUUCUACCUUAAGGCAAGGUUUUAAACCCUUGACCACGGU